AACUAGUCCUACUAGAGAUGUGGCUAAAAUGUAGUACAAGUUCAACUGGUAUGCGUUAUCGACACAUGCUGUUCACGUGCUUCUACUUCAGGUUUUGGUCUCACCGUCGACAGACUUAGAUCUCCCUUGCCGUAACAACUCUUCCUUCUUCCCGGCGAACUUCACUCUCUUCUCUCUCUCUCAUCUCAGUCAGUAUUCCAGCAGUAAACAUGAUGGGAUAUGAGAAUCAAGAGUCCCACCUUUAUGCAUCCAAAAAGGAGAUGGAAUCCCUGGUACUCGACGACGAUUCUCCCAACGGCACUUCUCAUCCUUUCUCCGAUCCACUUUCAUCAUCAUCAUCUCUUCCUUUCGCUGAAAUCCCUACUGACCAAGGUCAAACCCCUAAUUCUUCCUUCAAUUCCAUCCUCGAACCUCCUUCUUAUGCUGAGGCUAUUUUCAGAUCCUUUGACGCUGAUCACUCCUCUCCUCAACUCAACGGCGCUCAUGAUCACUCUAUCGCUUCUCCUUCUUCACUUCCAUCCUCCGACGACUUUUUGACCAUUACCGUUUCCGAUCCACAGAAAGAGCAAGAGUUGUCCAAUUCUCUAGUUCCUGGGGGGACUGCUUAUGUUACCUACCUAAUUACUACCAGGACGAAUUUACCGGAAUUUGAUGGAACUGAAUUUAGUGUGAGGAGGAGGUUUAGAGAUGUGGUCACUUUGUCCGACCGAUUAGCUGAGUCGUAUAGAGGUUUUUUCAUUCCGAUAAGACCGGAUAAGAGUGUUGUUGAGAGUCAGGUGAUGCAGAAACAGGAAUUUGUGGAACAGAGGAGAGCAGCACUGGAGAAGUACCUCAGGAGAUUAGCUGCGCAUCCUGUGAUAAGGAGGAGUGAGGAGCUAAGAAUGUUUUUGGAGGCGAAUGGGAAGCUUCCGCUGGUGAGGACAACAGAUGUGGCAUCCAGGAUGUUGGAUGGGGCAGUGCAGUUACCCAAGCAGAUUUUUGGUGAGACAGCAGGGGGAAUGGUGGAUGCCAAUGAGGUAGCUCAGCCUGCCAAGGGAGGUAGGGACCUGUUGAGAAUCUUUAGGGAGUUGAAACAAUCUGUGUCAAAUGAUUGGGGUGGUGUGAAGCCACCUGUAGUGGAGGAGGAUAAGGAGUUAUUGGAAAAGAAGCAGAAGUUGCAUGAUUUUGAGCAGCAGCUCAGCAAUGUGUCUCAGCAGGCCGAAGCACUUGUAAAAUCUCAGCAGGAUAUUGGAGAAACCAUGGGCCAAAUGGGCCUAGCUUUUGUCAAGUUAACAAAGUUUGAGACGGAGCGAGCUGUUUAUGAUUCACAAAGAACAAGGGCUGCAGAUAUGAAGAAUGUGGCAACUGCUUCUGUUAAGGCAAGCAGACUAUAUAGGGAGCUAAAUGCUCAAACUGUCAAACAUUUGGAUAAGCUCCAUGAAUACCUUGGAGUGAUGUUAGCUGUGAACAAUGCAUUUUCCGAUAGGUCAAGUGCUCUUUUGACAGUACAGACAUUGUUGUCUGAGCUGUCAUCACUAAAUUCGAGGAUCGAAAAACUUGAAGCUGCUGCGUCUAAGAUAUUUGGUGGGGACAGGGCCAGAAUUCGCAAAAUAGAAGAGCUCAAGGAAACACAUAGAGAAACUGAAGAUGCCAAAAGUUCUGCUGUGAGGGAGUAUGAGCGGAUCAAGGAAAACAACAAGAGUGAGCUUGCGAGAUUUGAGAAGGAACGACGUGAUGACUUCUUGGGAAUGUUGAGAGGAUUUGUUGUCAAUCAGGCAGGAUAUGCGGAAAAGAUGGCGAAUGUUUGGGAGACGGUGGCAGACGAAACAAAGGGAUAUGCAAAACAUGGUAGCUGAGAAGUUGCUGUAUAUAAUGGCCUUUAGCAUCUGCCUUUCUUUUAUCUAUUUUUAGUCCCUUUGUUUUGUAUUGUACUUUAUUUGUAUACAAGCUUAGAGACAUGUUCAUAUCUUAGGCAUAGAUGUUUGAUCCAACAUAUUUUUCCUCGUAGAGUUCUAAUUGAUAACAUGUGGGA
rnacentral:misc_RNA from 1 species